ACAGACUGUAGAAAGGGAGGUGAACGACACCGUGGCUGCAAGGCAAGGAGUAGCAGAUGGAAUACACUGUAAGGUCCGUGACUCGGAGCAGUUUGGGAUUUGGGAGAAGCACCUAUUUGAAUUACACCACUGAUGUGUUGGAUUGUACUCAAGACCAAAUUACAAAUGUUAAGAAGAUGCCAGGGGGAGACAGUAAACACGUUUGUGCACAAUUUAAUCCCUGAUAGGAAAAAAAGUUACCAUCUACAGAUGGUGGAUCAGUAUUAUCCCAAUAAAAAAAGGUUUGGUAAAGCAAAGUGAUGACUUUCAGGACACUUUUGAAUCUCUUAACUCUACUUAAGACUUUGAGGUGGAUGAAAAGAAGUAUGUCACAAACUGCUAAACAAAUCAACAGAUGACAGUGUUUGCUGCGAAGUUAAUAAUCAGCUGGUACGUUUCAUGGACAUGAGGCACAGGGAGUAUGGUGCCAGCAAGGUCACCACGACUAAAAAAGAACAGGGCAACAUUCCAGGUCACCGCAAGUCACAGAGCUCAAGUAGAAACUUUGCAAAUGGCUUUACCAUGGUAAUGUAUCUGAUAAUUAUUUUCCUGAGAAUCUCUUUCAGUUCAGAAGACUACACUGAUCUAUGCUUACAAAUCUAAUUAUUCUUCCCACUCACAAGAAUAGGCUACUCAUGCUGUUUCGAUUAUCACUUUCAGGUCAUGGACAUGAAAAUAGGAUAUAAGUAACACCAGUGCCAUUUAUCAAAUGAUGUCCUGGAAGAAUUAGUUUUUCUUAAAAAAGUGAAUACUUCACUUACAAAGUUCACUGUCCUCAUUUUAUUUACCCCUGAAAAAUACCACUUGCUGAAGGACAUGAAGUUUGUAAAAUUUCUGACAUUUUUUAUUAGUAAUUAUUGCAUGAGUCAUGGAUUUUAUGGAAAUCUGCCUAUAGUUGUAGCAGAAUAGCAAAGUUAUCUAUCUGAAAAGGACUAAGUUUUCAUAUUUAGAAUCUUACUAUUUUUACUAAGGGAUAAGUAUAUUACUCACCAAAAUAGAAAAUAGAAUAUUCAUAUGAAAGUAUGAGGAGAUAGUGCAUUAUCAGAGGAUUUAAGAAAUACUGUCUUAUUCAACUUCAUUAUUUUAAAAGAAGAAGAAAAAGAGUGUAUUUCAAGAGGAAGAAUUGGGUGCUAACAUGGAGGCAGUGGUGAAUUUAGGGCUGAUCCCUCAUGAAUUGUCAGUGCAAGAAGUUGCAAACUUAUAAAACUCCAUGAUUUUAUAUAGAAACCUGAAGACUGCAUUCCUAAAAUGUAACAAAUGAAAAACUAUUUACAAAACAUGAUCAUCUCUAAUUUUGGGCAAACUGAACCCUGGAAAAUUGGCUCAACUUAAGAUAUUUUACUACCUACAAACAAAUUUCAGAACAUGAAUAUUUCCAUUGAAACAAUAUGGAUU